rnacentral:rRNA from 1 species
UACGUAGGAUGCAAGCGUUGUCCGGAAUUAUUGGGCGUAAAGAGCUCGUAGGCGGUCAGUCGCGUCUGCUGUGAAAACUCGGGGCUUAACUCCGGGCCUGCAGUGGGUACGGGCUGACUAGAGUGCGGUAGGGGAGACUGGAAUUCCUGGUGUAGCGGUGAAAUGCGCAGAUAUCAGGAGGAACACCGAUGGCGAAGGCAGCCCCCUGGGCCAAAACUGACGCUCAGGCACGAAAGCGUGGGGAGCAAACAGG